GGGGAAUAUUGCGCAAUGGGGGAAACCCUGACGCAGCGACGCCGUGUGAGGGAAGAAGGCUUUCGGGUCGUAAACCUCUGUCGGGAAGGAAGAACCCCCCAGGUCCGAAUAGGGCCUGGGGCUGACGGUACUUCCAAAGGAAGCACCGGCUAACUCCGUGCCAGCAGCCGCGGUAAUACGGAGGGUGCAAGCGUUAAUCGGAAUCACUGGGCGUAAAGCGCGCGUAGGCGGCUUUUUAAGUCGGACGUGAAAGCCCUCGGCUCAACCGGGGAAUUGCGUUCGAAACUGGGAGGCUUGAGUCCUGGAGAGGUUAGAGGUACUCCCAGGGUAGGGGUGAAAUCCUGUAAUCCUGGGAGGACCACCUGUGGCGAAGGCGUCUAACUGGAACGAACCUGACGGUGAGGGACGAAAGCUAGGGGCGCGAACC
rnacentral:rRNA from 1 species